GUGUGUGCCAUGAUCAGACAGAAUGAAUCCACCAUUCCCCAUUCUGCAGUGCGCUUCUGCCUGCUCCUCUGUCUGGCUGGAAUAGAUCUGUGCUGUUUGCUCAGCUGACGCCAUGCUUCCUAAAAACUGUUCCUUCUAAUUUGAAACAGGCAAAGGAACAACGAUAAAAAACCAUUCCCUCCAACCCUAUCAUCAUCUUGGCUGUAAUUUGAUUCUACUUUUUGUUCUGAUUUUUGAAUUUUGUAGACUCACCCACGAUUCAUUGAAGACUGUGCUGUAUGAAAAUACAGGAAGAUUGGAGUGGGAGUACUGGAAGAUGAUGGAAGAGAACACUGCUGAAUGAAGGUGCUCAAAAAGUUUGUUGCUGUAAAGAGAAGAAAUAAUUGAUGCUGGGAUGCAAAAUCCCCUCAAGUGAAGGCAUUGCACACUGGGAAAAUUACAUGUCCUGCCCUGCGGCCUUGCUGUGACCGCACGCUGCCUUGACAGUGAUCACUGGCUGGAACGAUGUGCUUCGCCAAGGUUGUCUUUAUUUAGACAAGGCUGCUGCUUUCUGAACUGCUUGCGGGAACAGAGGGGUCAUGCAGUAACCACUCUGCACCUCCUGUGUCAGAGGACUGUGGCGCACUCAGGGGAACACGCCUUUGGUAUUUUUCUAUGUUCUAACAGGGAAAACGGGGUAUUUGGAAUAAAGCAGCAAUGAAACAGACAGUAAGGUGGGCUUUUCUUUGAGUAUAACCCCAGAUUCUGGUCAGUCCAGCCUGAUCCCAGACAGAUAGCCAUGGCAGCAGCCUGAGCUCAGGCAUGGCUUCAUCUUCCUGCCUUUCCUGUAUUAAAGAACAUGGCAGCUUGCACUACAAAUAAUGUAUCUGUGCUGUUUACUACCACUGCCAGCAUUCCAGGAGAGCCAGAAGGGUCUGACACAGAUCGGCCUCUGGUUGUUGCCACAGCACCUGCGGAUGGUGUUUGUACUGAGGUCACAUUCAGAUGCAAGAAAGGUUACAAGCUGCCAAUAAUAAGAGUAACAAAAUACAGAUUUCCUCAGACCAGUGGCAAAGCCAGGAAUGGAGCUCAGGUUACUGCCUGCUAAACUUACAGCCUGUCCCAAAUUUAUACCAGAUGAGUGUAACAGGUUGGCAUGGAGUUAGUGCAAUUAAAUUCCAUACAUGUGGGUAACCCUUUGUUUAGUUACCAAGCCUAAACUCAAGAGCUGGGGUAGGAAACAAAGUGCAUAUGAUGCAAUGUGUAUUUUUUUAAAACUGGAAAACCAAAUUCAGGGUUGUGAGCCUGAAUCUCAGUUAGUAUAGGCUGUGAAUUCUGAUGAGUCUGUGCAGAACAACAGGAUCUGAGCGUGGGUGUUGGUUUCAUAUCCCAACACAGAAGAUUUGGGAUGAAUAUUUCAUAAGUUCACAAAGGUCCUGAGGAAUAUGCAUGAUAAAAAAAGUACUGGUUAGUUUGAAAGAGGUUAACAGCUUUCUAAAUAGAAUAAAGUAGAUAUCAUGGGGCUCUCAGCUAGAUAAAUGCAGGCAUAUUUCCUAAUUUCUCUGCUGCAAAACAGUCCUCUACUUCUCGCUGAGUCUUUUCCUUUUAUAAGGUGAGGACUGGAGGACUCAGACAAAACAGAUGAUGUUUGGUCAGAUGAGGGUUUAAAUCUGGCAGCUAAUGUUGCCCAUAGCACUGCCUGCGCUGAAGAGAGAGAAAUUGUGCAGUAGGCAGGUAAUUCAUAACCCUGGAGAGGUAUCUGAAUAACAGGACAGAAUUGCUCUGUUACAGCUCCAGCCCCUGCAGUGAAAUCCAUCUGCAUGCAUUGCACCCAACCUGUUGGUCACAUCCAUGAGUGCCCCUGGCACAUACAGCCUUCCUACCACAUUGGUGUAGUUCAUGUGAUACACACUCAUACUGAGCAAUCCAUGAAUGGGUCUGUACAGCCGUCUAAGAGGGACAGUGUUACAGUCAUGUGGUCAUAAUAAAUCAUAAAUCUGUGCCACCCCUUUAACAAAUGAUUUCCCCAUCUACAUGCUAAAGUUGAGGUACAAAUUUUUUUUUUUUUUUUUUUUUUGCCAAUAUCUUUGCUGAAAUCGAGUGUUUGGAUGGAUUAUGUGCAUGACUUUCCUUUUAAAUACCACUAAACUGAUGUUUGUGAUGUGCUUGAUUGACUGUUAAUGAAGGAUAAACUGGGGUUACAAACACAACUCUGUGUUGCCUCAACUCUUACUCUGCCCUGGAGUCAAUUCUUAUCUGUGUGGCUGCAUUUGGGUAUGGGAGAAAACUUCAAAUACUCAUAAUCAGAAAAAAAAAAAAAAAAAAAGUUCUCUAAUAUUCAAAGUCUUUAAUAUAGGCUUUGCUGGAACAUCAUUUGAAAAGUGUAAUUCCACAUUUCACAUAAACCAUCACAGUAACUCUUGGAAUCAGAAGCAGAGAGGCUGAUCCUCCCUUCAUCUGCACAGCCCUCACCUCUGCUGUCAUUAGCAGGUUCUCCAACCACUACCAAUGCAGGUGGUUUUUUGUUCACUAAACUUCCAGAAUGUAACUUCAUGGCCCACACAGGAGCAAUCCUUCUCUACCUGAACACUUAGACAGUGAAAAGAUAUCCACGUCUGCCUGUGCAUGGACACAGAUGUGCAAACAAAAUAACCAUCUUGAGUUUUAUUUCCUUACAAAAAUUUAAGAAGUCAGGCUCAAAGAAGAGGAGGAAGAGGAAAUACUGCUUGGGCUUCCCAGUCAGUCAUUUGUGAAAUAAACAAACACGGAAUCGAUUUGUUUUGUAUUUCAGCAUGAAAACAGACUGAAAUCUGCGUGGGAGUUGAAAUCAAAGCAUAAAUAGAUGUAAAAAAAAAAAAAAAAAAUCCAGUGGAGGAUCUAAGGGCAAAAAGCCACCUGGGAAGGGCCAGGAUGACCCCACCAGGCUGUCCCGUGCGGUGGGUACCCUCUGGCUGCUAUGCAUGGAGGUCCCCAAAGAUCUGAACCAAAGGCUCCGAGGGCAGCCCUUCCUCCAGCAGCACCGGGAGGAGCAGGCAGAGCUCCCAGAGCUGGCAGAACAGCACCUGGAGCAGAAGCUGAGCAUGAAGCUGGCCAGCUGGGAAAUGAGCUAAUGAGGUGCAGAUGGUAUGAUUCUUAGAGCACAAAGUGCAGGUCAUGGCUGCUGUUGCUCUCCUGGGAAGCUGGAAAGAAGGUGGUUCUGCUGCUCUGUUUCUCCUGCUGUUCAUAGUGCUGCUGGAGCACACUAGGAAGGGUGCCUUUCUGCAACAUCCAUGUGCUGCAAGUGAGGUUCAGGCAGCUCAGCCCAAACCUGGCUCACACCAUCCAGCUGCCAGCCUUGGCAUUCAGCUUGUAGAAGGCUUUGACAAGGUGAAGAGCAGUUCAGUUGAGCUCAUGUUCAGCACACAGCACAGACUGAAGGUAUACAGAGAUCAGCUGUGAGGCAGAGCAUGAACAGCGGUAACUAGUUUGGAAUGGACUGCUCAGUUGGUUUGUUUCUACUUUAUUUUGCUUUGCUAACAGCAUUUAGGACAUUGUCUAAUGGAGCAGGAAAACAAAUACCCCUGAUGAGCUGGUAUGAUUGGCACUAGUAAAGAGGGGAGAAGCACAAAAUCAUUGGCUAAAUCUCUUGACUUCCCAGAAGACAGUACUAACAAGCUUGUCAGACAGCUGACAGAGAUCCUGACAUGAGGGAAAUCCAUUUUCCUUUUCAGCUUUGUUUUGUACCACAUGGUCAUUGGGCCUCACUUCUGCUGAAGGUUUACAAACAGCAUUCAUUCUCUUCUGAAUGCACGUAGCCAACAUCACAUCCAUAACACGGCCAGCAGCCUCUGCAGCAGCGCUGAUGGACACUGAGGAGUGUGUGCUUCAGGGCAUCACGGAAUGUACCAGCUUGAAAGAGAUGUCGAGUGUGUGCUGAUAUGCCUUGUUGUGUGCCUGCACUGACCUGCUGCAAGGAAAAGCAUCCAGCAGCUGUUUUAUGGCUCUGAGCUCAGUGACAGUUGCCUGUUUGGCACAAACAGGAGCAGAGAGUAUUUCACAAGACUGCAUCAACUUAUCGAUGAAAGGCUACAACUGUAUCUAGACAGAAUAAAAACACCAAGCAGAGAAUUCUUCCAUAGAAAUGAAGCAUAGCCCUGCAGGAACUGGCAGAGCUGCAUGGCCGUGGCUCAACACCCCUCCCCUCAGCCCACCACAGCCAGAACAGCCCAGGGCUCCAUGCUGGGAGAGAGGGGACAGCAGGCACCAAAAGGGACACCUGGUGCUUGGCUUCCAGGUGCAAAGGAGCAGAAGAAGGUCUCCGUUCAGCAAGUAAAAGGCAGCAGCGUGCUGGCAACUGCCAACCAGAGGCUGGGGCCAGAAAUACAGAGACUGUAGGGUAAAGCUGACAGUGAAGAAGGCUCUCAGGAAGGUUGGACACCAGGAUGGUAAAGGCUGCAGGAGGAAAGAGCUCUCCAUGAUGGGAAUAGGACCCAACUGGACGGAGAUAGCGUUCCUAUCCUCUGCUCUCAGAGCAGGGCUUGGAUGGCCAAAAAGCCAAAUUCCUCAGGAGGAGGGGAGGGGGGAGGGGGAGUGGCAAGGGCUGAGAAACAACAGAUUACAGAUACAAGUUAGCACUGAGGGCUUCUUUAAUAGGAGCUACAGUAACAACAACAACAAUGUCCCUCCUUUCUGCUUUUUAUUAGCAAAGCUGCCAUGUUGAUGUUUCAGAAAGACAGGACAUCUGCCAAUGAUUUACAAGCACCAGAAGUCUCUUCAAAUGAACUUGCAGUGACAGUUUAUGAAAGUAACCAGAACAGCAUAGGAUGAACACUAAUCAGCUCCAAAACAGGUGGCUUUGAUAAUACAGUUUCAGCUUUUGUCCUGCAGGAGAACACAAGCCCAUUCAGCCUUUGAGAGUCUUCCUUAAAUUAUUCUCACCCAUGUAAAGUGUAAAACAUCGUACUACAUCAGUACAAGUCACUGCUGUAACCUGUAUUGUAACAACACGAUACAGAUGUGUGGUUUUACUGCAGUUUCCAAUGGGUGGUUUCCUUCCCACAACAGCUGCAAUUGACACAAUUUAAGUCUCUCAGCCACACUCUCAGCUGAACCCCGACACAUUUUUCCUCUCUAAUAUUUAGGUAUGUUUCAGGGUCUUUAAAUAGCAGCGCUGGGAGUAAGAACAUCAAACAGCCUCUGAGACAUGCUGAGGAAGAACUGUGCCUGUUGAGAUGGGGCAGAGACUGAUAACGUCCAAAACUUUGGAUAAAAGAUAAUGGUCUGGUGCUUCCCUAGGAUCCUCAGCGUAUGCAAUUAACAGCAGCAACAUAAUGUUUCCUAAGUAUUGAAGCCUAGAUGAAACAAAUGUGGGCUGCUGCAAGCAGCUGUCCUGCCCCUAUGGGCUGCAGUGGGGCCAGCAGAUCUCCAUCAGCCUUGGUAUCUCACCAUGGGUUUCCAUCCAUAUCCAGCAGUGGAAGCAGCCUUACCCCAGGCUGGGAAAACUGAUCUGUCAGCAUUGCUAACCUGGACCACAUUUCGUAUGGUAACUUAGAAGUCACAACUUCAUGUAUUACCUCCUGAGAAAAUUGAAACUCUGCUGAAAACACGGUUGUGUAAAGCACAAUGGAAGGGACAAACGUGUUUCAUUAGGGAUGAAGUUUCUCAAAGUUCUCAGCGCCACAGGGAUUGCCUUUGAUCAAAUGGACCGAGCACUUCAGCCAUUUCAUUGCGGUACACACAUGGGCUCUUCUGAAAGUCUCUCUCCAAUUUGUAAGAGAAGGAAAAUAUGCUGACAGUUCUUUGGAGGUGAUGGGGAUGAGUGUGGGCAAGGAAAGGAAUAACAUUUUGGAUGGCUGCAACCAUUCAAAAAAAAAAAAAAAAAAUUCUCUUUGCUGCCCCCUCAGCCCUUCACUUCAGGGAAGAGCCGUUCCAGAAGGUGUGAGUGAGCCUUCCUGGGUGCAAGAAGUGUGAGGGUGGGACAGCAAGGAGGGGCGCGGGGGCAGUUCAGCAGCCUAUGGCCCUAAAUUGGAAGGAUGGAACACAUUGGGCAAAAAUAGCUGCAAGGCACUGUUACCUUCAGAAUUAACAUGAAUGGAAAUGAAAUAACUUCCUGCACCCAUCUGCACCAACAGUUUGUAAGGCCCCUGAAUGCAUCCACGUGAGCUCUCAUCCAUCUGAGGAGCCGGCAGAGCAGGCUGGCAGUCUACAAUUGAUGCAGAUGGCCAAAAUAUUUAAAAUGUUAAGAAAUGUGUGACUUCUGCGUAUCAUCGAGCAACCUGAGGGUAGCAGAGGCACCCAAAAUUCAGGAGGAAGCUGUGGGCGGUGGCACAGAGCCCUGCAGGCUGCUCCUCUGUGCUGCCAGCCAGAGAGGGCUGUGAUCCCACUGCCACCACAGCUCCCCACAUCCCCUCAGCCCUCCGUGUGCACUGCGGUUCCUUCAUCAACAGCAUGCAGAGGCACAUGGAAGGUCUUUCGCCUGACUGCACAUUUCUUUCCCCUUGGAUUACACGGCUCUCAUUACUGCUGAAUCCUCUGCUUCCAGUCACAACUGACUGAAAACAGCAACAAUUUCAGGUACAGACAAACAGAAGCUCUCACCCCAAACAGCCUUUGGUAAAUGCAGCAGCAUCUGCACCAGGCAGAGAACCACAGAACCACGGUAUCACAGGAUGUCUGCAUUGGGAGGGACCUUAAAGAUCACCCAGUCCCAAACUCCGGAGGAAGAGAUGCAGUUUGUGCUGCAGGCGCUCUUUGAAUUUAUCAUUUUAAAUUAAGAACAAUUUUUAGUUUUCCUGUGCAGGCUGCUGUGGUUGGCAAGGGCUUCAUUAUUUCAGCAUCCCUGGGACGCCGGUGAGGCAUCCUGCACUGCAGCACACAGCAGGCGCUCACCUGGCAGCUGGGCACAGAGCAGCAGUGCUGUAAGGAGCUGGCUGCUGGGUUAUGCCUACAGCUCGCCUCGGGUAAGAGGGAGGAUUUGGAAGAGAACUGCUGAACUGUGUGCUGUCAGCCUGACUUCACUAGAGAAUAAUGGUUAAAAAAAAAAAAGAUUGAUUCUGCUCCUGGCAUCUCCGCUGCACUGCAAUAUCACUUGAGCUCUCAGCGGCUGUGGGUUUGUACUCCUGCUGAUCACCUGGUGUUUGUUCGUGGAACAAAACAAAGGAACAGCUGUAAAUCUUGUCUCUAGAGAGACGAUACUUGAUGGAAUGUCCUCUGCCUUUCUGAAGAAUGUUAUUUGCUACUUUUCUGAGUAGUUACAAGGGAUCUUCUGAGCCAAAGGAUGUUAUCAGAAAAAAGUAUUUUCUCGGGGUACGACAUAUCUCACAGCACCUCAUUAAUAAUCACUCUGGUACUGGUCCAGCAAAGCACUUAAGUGAAGAUGUGAAGUAUAGGAGCAUUUCCUAGAUUUCACUGGGGUUAUUCAUAUGUUUAAAAAGGAGAAGUGUUUUGCUGGGUCAGGUCUCCCCAGCACCCGGCCCAUCCCAAGCCAGGUUAUCUGCCCUUGCUGUGAUCAGACCAAGAGUCCGUUGGUUUCCAUAGCACAGAAUCACAUCCAUCAUCACUUAUCUUCCUUGUCCUCAUGCAUUUAAUUUGACUUUCUCUGAAAUGAAAGGCAAAACCCUCAGUAACAUCCACAGACAAAAACUAUCCCUAUGGUGAUUGUCCUUUAUAAAUACCUUAAACUUCACCCUCUAACAAAGAUUCACAGAUACAAGUUACCCGAAAACAUGCUAUUGAGAGAAUGGGAAAACAGAAUUUAAAGUGGUAUCAAACUGAGCAUAGGGCAUCUCUGAAAUACGGGGUGGUGUGGGAGGCAGGAGUGCCAGGGAAUGGCUCUUUUGGUGCUGAGUGCAGAGCACUCAGUUUGCUUCAGCUGGGCAGCAUGGCUGUAUCCUCUGCCCUGAGCAGUGUGGGGGGGAGGCAGGCUGCUGGGCUCCGUGUGCCCCACUGCUGGGAGGGCAGCGAGGGAUGGGGUGAGGGCUGGGUGAUGCCAGACACAUCUGACCCAGCGGUGCUAUCUGUUGGAAGAAUCCUACGUGAUGACUGAAAAAGCUGUCUCUGGGACCAACCGAGGGAGAAGAAAUCUGAAAUAGCCAAAUGGAUAUCUUUUCUUACCUGGACUGAUUUGCAAUAAGAAGUGCAUGGAAACAGCUUGGAGUUGGAAUAUGAGAGAGGAAGAAGAGGAGAGCUGCUCCCAGCCCUGCUGCUGACUCACUGCCACUCUCUACCAUUAGAAAACCGAAAUAAAUCAUUGUAUCACCACUUCCUUCUGUCCAGAUCUGCAGUGAGGUUUACACUGGAAAAGGUUGUAAAGCAUUCUGCUGCUCACAAAUGGGGAAACUGCAGGGAGGGAAAAGCACAGAUGUCUGACCACGGUCUGACCAUUUGAUCAAAGAAAUGAAAUUUCCAAAGGCUGCCAUGUCUGUCUUCUGGGAUUGGGAUUCAUCCUUCUGUGUCCCCAUUGACUUCUCCAAAUCCUAGGAAAGGACUUGAAAUACUUUGCUUUAUCUGCGGGAAGGCAGAAGCUGCCUGAAAUCUGAAGAUUCUCUGAAUGCUGUUAAGUGAACGGACCCCUCAGUGCAGAGCCAUUGCAGCAAACCGCAGCAGCACCGUCCUGCACAGACAGCACUGCUCCCUCCCCUGCCUGGGCUGGGAGAACCCGAGUAUAAUGCUAGAGUUUGAAUUUCUCCCUGGCACUUCAGUGUUUUAAGAGCAUUGUUAAGUUGUAAGUGUUGAUAGGAACAGUCCUGAACAGUCCUGGUUGUUGGAACUAUAUAUAUAUAUUUUUAAGAACGCUCUCCCAGCAGCUCUGGCUGACAGCGUCAGUGAGAGGCAAAGCUCUGGAUGUGGCACGGGAAGGAAUGUGCUCCUUGUUAGGCAGGGUGGUCCCUGGGCAGCAUGUAGUAAAGCCUCUGGGAACUCCUAUGGCAGGGAAGCUGUUCUCCCACCUUCUGCAGCACAUUGAGACAGACGUUCUACAGCAGAAAUGCAAAGUCAUGGCCUGAAGCAGUGAUGGAGCACCUGGUGGGAAGGCAGGGCCAAUCCAGGUACAUUGCAUGCACCUGAGUGAUGGAAGGGAUGGAGCCAGGAUCCACCCCUUCUCAGUCCUCAUUUAAGGGUUGGCAAUGGAGGCGAGGGCAUCUCUUGCUGGAGAUCCUUGCCUACCUGUGGCCUCUUGAGGGUAAGCCACUUUGUUUCUGCGUCCAUGGCUGCUGCAUUUGAGCAUGUCCUCAUUUGAUGCAGCUGAAGACUUUGACACCCUGCUAUUAUUGAUGUGUUUUCCAUUGCAUUAUGGCAUUAUAUGCUCUUACUCUCCCUGCUGAUUUGCACGCAGCCCAGCAGCUCCCAGCAUGAAGAAGCUAAUGGCACAAGACAGAAGCAGAAAGGGUGGAUCUAGCUUGUUAAGCUGCUGGAAAUGGGCGCAGGGAGGAGGGCACAGGGGAAGAUGGGCUCUUUGCCAGCACAUCUUCAGCCGUCCUAAACUGAGAUCUAUUUUUUUCCAUUAUAGAAAUGUGGAGGUAUGUUUUUAAGUAGUUGCAAUCCUGAAUCACUGCCCAACAGUUCUCCUCUCCCAAACAACCCUGCACAUCUCCACAGCGCAAUUGGAUUUGGUGGGAGGUUCUGGUCAGGGGGUGAAUCCCAGUGAGUCCAUCCUUGGGACAGGGGCUCUUCUCCUGGGUAGAAGGACUCAAUUUCAAAUCAGCACUGGUUGCUGCUUGUGUUACUUACACCCCACUGAGUAACUAUCUGUGCUACCCUCUUUGCACUCUUUUCUGUUUUGGCAGCCCUGCUGCACGGCACUGAAAGGAGAAGUCUUCUCAUGGAGAGUAAUACACCUCCCAUUGUUCUCUAAGUCCCCGAUCCCCUGAAAUAUCUGAUUCUAAAUACAGUUGAUGCAUGCUGAAUUUGAAGUGUAGAAUCCUCGCAGACAAAAGAGUUGUCAUGUUCAAAUCUAAAGAUAAUACCACAUAUACUAUUUGCUGUACCAGAACCCAAAUGAUAUGAAGUGAGAUGGAUGUUACAAUUUUCAGUUCCUGAAAUCUUGAUGACAAAAGCUGAAGCAUUCAGGAUAAAAUGAUGAUAUCAGUGGUUAAGCUGAAACAGAAACUUUACACAUCAUUUGGAACGGUUUUUUCCUGCAGUUAUUUUAAAGCAGAAGUUUGUAAAGCUGUAUUCUGCAGGCAGGCACAGACAGCUGUCUGAAGGCAGCUUUGUGUGGAUGUGUAACUUGGUGAAGGAAAGAAACUGAGAAUAACAUACAGGAAAAUAGAAUCACAGAAUGGCCUGGGUUGAAAAGGACCACAGUGCUCAUCCAGUUCCAACCCCCUGCUAUGUGCAGGGUCACCAACCACAAGGCCAGGCUGCCCAGAGCCACGUCCAGUCUGGCCUUGAAUGCCUCCAGGGGCAGGGCAUCCACAGCCUCCUUGGGCAACCUGUUCCAUUGCUGCCGUGGUCAGAGCAUCAGAAAAAACUGCUGAGUUUCUUGUGGCGUUUGCAUUCAAAAAUAUAAAUCCAUCCCCAGUUUUGUAUUUGUUAUCCUUCAGCACAGGCUGGGCAGUGUUUGUGUUUGCCCACAUGCCUACAGUGCAGCUCCUGACAGGUGUGCAUCAGGCUGAUGUGAGAGUGCCGUGUGCUUCCUUCCAUUCUGAAAAGUCAAUGCCUCCUUGAUCUUUCUAAGGAUGAACAGUUGUAUAUUGUCUCCAGAGCGUGUUUACCUGUUGCAAAGGUCCUGAUCUAACUCAGCUGCUCACCAGGGAAACCUCUUGAUGAGGAACCUCCUCUGGCUGUCAGGAGAAAGCAUGUGCUCUGGAUGAGUGCUGCUAGGUCUCUGCAUGGCCAUUGCCACUGUCACAGUGAGCAGCAGUGGGUGGUUUGGCUCCAGGCCCUGACCACAGCCCUGCUGCUCUGUGCCCCCUUGGGCUGUGUGAGUGUGUGGCCCCCACCAAGCACAGUCCUGGCGAGCUGAGAACUGUCACAGCACUGUAAGCAGUGCCACAAAGACCAGGACUUCAGGAGCAUUCUUGUAAAGAUUCCAAAUGGUCCGUGCUGAUGGGGGCUGCAAGUCCAACGUGUUGCUCUGAGCCCAGCAGUGUUCUUACUGAGAACAAAGCCAAAGGUACCAAGUGGAAGAGCUAUGGGAAACGCAACAGAGCUGUGUGCAGCAGCUACUGAGGGUACAGGUUUGCAGUAAUGGAGCCACUGAAAAAGAGAGGCACAGCAGCCUCCGGCAUUCCUAUCAUAAAAUAAAGGGAAUAAUUCCUUCCAUUUCUAGGGUGUGCUUAAGACGUGUCUGAAUUCAAGGCAAGAAGAGUGUGCACUUUUCCAAUAAUUUUAAUGGAGAAGCUGCUUCUAAGGUGUGUAACUGGAGUGAUAAAACAUGCAAACUGAUAUUCUACAAGAUGAUAGAAGAAAAUAUCUUUAAUAUUUUAAGAUAGGAUUCCUAUGUUAAGAUGCCUAUUUUGUGUUGCAGAUCACAAAGCACUGAGGUUCCUUCCCACCACCCAAACACACACAGCCCCAUGUCUGCUUCUGCAGUGCAUGUUCAGCACACACAGCUCAUUGGCUGCACAAACAGCCCACAAUCUGCUGUGUGAGCCGUGCUGAUGGAAGGUGGAUCACUGCCAAGGGCUCCACUUCUCUGCUUAUCUAAAGGGAAGAAUACUGCAAAUAUCAAAGUACACCUCUGACUUUUUGUUUUCAGGUUUUUCAGCAUUAAUUACAUGAGAACGCCCCUAUAUUAGAAUGGUCUUAAAAUUCUUCGUGUGCACAUUAGCUGGUUUUGGAAUGCAGUUUGAUACAGUGCAGUUAUGAAAGGAAUAUUUCAAUCACUGUGUUGUAUGUAAUGAGAGGUGCUCCCUUUAACAAGACCGUUCCACAUGGCUGUUUGCCUUCGCAGUGAAUUGCACUUUCAGGUGCUUUGGUGCUGACUGUCACCAGGUGGGCAACCCGGCAGUCAGUGUGGAGCCACGUUGUGCUGUCACGUCUAUUUUUACAGCAUGUGUUAACUUCAGGAUGGAAUGCACAUUUUCAAUUUUAAAACAGCUUUAAUCAAUCGACAUUUUGUUUAUGUUGAGAAAAUGCUCCUGAGGUGCAGAGGAGGAGGUGAUGUUUCUCUGACAGCACAGCCAAGCGUGUCUCAUACGCCGUGUUGAAGUGUUUCACUUUUUGUGUCACCCCCUCUCCCCCCACAUCCCACAUGCAGACACCCAACAGCUCGGAAUGGCCGUGCACCCCUGUGAGCACAGAGAACAGCUCAGCCUCACCGCUGCUGUGCUCUCACAGUGCACUUAUCCAACUGAAACUGCAGAGCCCUGAGAUGCAAAGCAUGGGCUCACAUAGGAAAGGCACUUUACCAAAAAAUACACAGGAUCACACUGCUGCUCUUUUGUAACUCACUGAUAAUUAAAGCCACAGCCCAGCUUACCUACGGUAAGAAAAACGA